rnacentral:rRNA from 1 species
UACGUAGGGGGCAAGCGUUGUCCGGAAUCAUUGGGCGUAAAGCGCGCGUAGGCGGCCCGGUAAGUCCGUUGUGAAAGUCAAAGGCUCAACCUUUGAAUGCCGCUGGAAACUGUCUGGCUAGAGUCCGGAAGGGGCGAGUGGAAUUCCUGGUGUAGCGGUGAAAUGCGCAGAUAUCAGGAGGAACACCAAUGGCGAAGGCAGCUCGCUGGAACGGUACUGACGCUGAGGCGCGAAAGCGUGGGGAGCGAACAGG